rnacentral:rRNA from 1 species
AGCAAUACAUUCAAUAUAUUAGUGGCGCACGGGUGAAUAACACAUAAGCAACCUACCCUUCAGUGGGGGACAACAGAGGGAAACUUCUGCUAAUACCGCAUACGGCCUUGUACUGGGAUGUACGAGGAGAAAGGAUUUAUUCGCUGAGGGAUGGGCCUGCGGCCUAUCAGGUAGUUGGUGGGGUAAAGGCCUACCAAGCCUGCGACGGGUAGCCGGACUGAGAGGUCGACCGGCCACACUGGAACUGAGACACGGUCCAGACUCCUACGGGAGGCAGCAGUGGGGAAUAUUGCACAAUGGGGGAAACCCUGAUGCAGCGACGCCGCGUGGAGGAUGACGGCCUUCGGGUUGUAAACUCCUUUUGUCAGGGACAAUGGUGAUGGUACCUGACGAAUAAGCCACGGCUAACUCUGUGCCAGCAGCCGCGGUAAGACAGAGGUGGCGAGCGUUGUUCGGAAUUACUGGGCUUAAAGGGCGCGUAGGCGGUGGUGUAAGUCUGGGGUGGAAUGCUACAGCUCAACUGUAGAGCUGCCUUGGAAACUGCAUUACUUGAGUCGGUGAGGGGAAGGCGGAAUUCCUGGUGUAGCGGAGAAAUGCGUAGAUAUCACGAGGAAGGUCUGUGGCGAAAGCGGCCUUCUGGCACUUGACUGACGCUGAGCGCGAAGCGUGGGGAGCAAACAGGAUUAGAUACCCUGGUAGUCCACGCCCUAACGUGGGGUAUUAGUGUGGGGCCUUCAUGGUUCCGUGCCGUAGCGAAAGCAUAAUACCCGCCUGGGGAGUACGGCCGCAAGGUUGAACCUCAAGACUGACCGGGGUCCGCCACAAGGCGGUGGGAACAAUGGGUGAUUUAAUUCG